ACUAAUAUGUUGCAGUGCCUCCUCGGACCUAUCGGUCGAGCUUUUCCCUUGGGUGGCCGUACCCACUGGGAACCAUGGAGUUGUUUCUCACCCCACGUGGUUUUGGAGUGUUUUCAGGUUGUACGUGUGCAGCGCGGUGGCGCGAGGCGAAGGCGUAGCUCAGUAGAUAGCGCCCUACCACAGAGACCGAGGUAGCAGUACCCUGAGGCAGUCUAGCUUAGGGGACUAGAAAGCUAGAAUCAAGAUGUAUCAAACUUGUAAAUUAAAUGAUGUAAUAAUUAGAUUGUAAUUUGGAAGUAAAAUGUAACUGAGUUGUAUUAAUUGAAUGCGAAUGAAUGCUUGUAAUAGCUAUUAGUUUUAUGUAUUUGAUACUUCCUUAUGCAAUCUGGAUUGAUAUCCGUUCCUACUUGGAACAUUCGUUGAUUGUUUGGAUUGCGACACCUAGAACGUACAGGGGAGACUCUGUCCGCGUACAGGAAAAACUCCGGUCCGUUCUGCGGUCUGUCGUCGGCGCCGCGACCCGGUCCAAAUUGGCGGUUGGUCGCGGGGCGUGACAGCUACGACCAUAUUGCAACGGAUUGUCCUUCAAAGAAGUCUUAUAAGCAAAAGGCUUUGCAAGCUAAGACUUGGGAUGAUUCUUCUUCAAGUGAAUCAUCUUCAAGUGACGAAGAAAAGAGUGAUCACAUUGCUUUAUUUACUAACACUUCUCUACCUUCGUCUAACGUUGUUUGUUUAUCCUCAAUUGUUUCUAAUUCCAAUGUUUCUCUCUCUUCGCAUCGGUCUUCGAGCGACAAUGGCGAAAGCGAGGAG
rnacentral:lncRNA from 1 species